rnacentral:snRNA from 1 species
UUUAUAAUCACUUAUUACAUACA